rnacentral:tRNA from 1 species
AUGUUCUAUGGUGUACUGGUUAGCACUCUGGGCAUUGAAUCCAGCGACCUGGGUUCAACUCCCGGUAGGACCUUCCCCCCCCG